rnacentral:lncRNA from 1 species
AAGGCCAGUGACCCUUUCGGUAUAGUCUAUUAUACUUUAUCUAAUAGGGGAUAAAUGACUCUGGUUGGCAAAUAGAUUUAAAAAAAAAAACAAAAAAAACACCCCUCCAGACUUCUCUUAUUCCUCAGCCAUAUGAACAGGUAGUAACAGGUAGUAGGUACUGAGGAGGUAAUGUUGCACAAGCCGACUGGUGGUAUUUUUCUAGCAGAAACAUGACUUUAAAAAAAAUAGUAACAAAACCAUGGAAAAAAUAAACCAACAACACACACACACACACACACCUCUGAACUCCGUUUAUUUUGACCAGUUUUGACCAUUUUGGUUUGGAGUAGGUAAAAUGACUGAGGCCAUGAUUCUUCCACGUUUGCAUCAUCAGAAUUUGCCAGAUUAUAACUCAAGACACUGAAGGCCUCAUUUACUGAAUGGUCGCUCAGGAGCUGUAGCAAAAGCCUUAUGCUUCUCCCCUAAUUGACUUCAAUGAGCAGACUUAGACUUUAAGGGUUUCAGAACUCUCUGCCAUAAACCUCAGGAAGUUCAUGUGAAAAUGAAAGUACAUGCUGAAGCCCCACGUUCUGUGUUUCUCUUGCUCUGCUCUCUAUAGUGUGCUACACCAUGCAUAACUGGAAGCAGGUUUAUCCAUCUCAGAGGUGAAAUAUGGAGAGAUCCUUCCUCUUGCUGAUGACCGGGUUCCUGUUUGAUCCUGUUUAUAAGCUUCCGAAGGCUGAAAAUAACCUCAACUCCUCUGCAUCGGAUUGUGUGAUAUCACUUCCUUUGUGAAGUAUUUACUGAGAGAUGCUGCUGCUCCCUAAUCGUGCUCUUCUGUGAUGCUGAAGUUUUACCUCACACUGUGACUCCUUUGUUCUGCAAAGAAUAGAAUUGCCAUCUUGAGGCUCCCUGCUGACUCUGUGCUCAGCUUACUGGCUGAGCGCUGGCAGCUGAAGGCGAAGCCUAAGUUCUGCUGGGGACAUGAAGAGGUCCUGAAAACAGAGGUAUUCCCAGGCCAGAGUCACCCUUCUUUCAACGGUUGUGCAAGGAACAGCAUGUUUUUAAUUUUUCUCUAUUGCUGUGUGACCCUCGUGGCUGUGGAAAAGGAAUACCAUUUUAGAAGACAUGAAGGAAAGAAGUUGAGGAUCUGCGAAAGGCCUUUGAAACUGAUAUUUUGGGAAAACGCCAAAGUGUUCAGGUCCUCCUGGAAGCAUGCAUAAGCAAUGGAAGUCAAAAAUAAUGUUUUAAAAUCCAAACUCACUAACAUUGCUGCCAUUACAAUCCUUAUAAAAUUACUUUUAUGUGUUUAAAUUGUUUAUUAUUAUUAUUUAGCAGCAAGUAGCACUGUCUUUUCUCAGGAACUCCAGAAAUAAAGAAAAUCAGAAAUCAGACCUCCA